GGACAAGGCGGUCCUGACUGUGAGGUCCAAGCGUCAUGAUUGACCAGCAGGUUUGGUUCCACUGAUCUGGCUGCCUCGGUGAGGCCCUCUCCCUCCCACAUGGCUCCAGGUGGGUCCUUCCCAAAGCUGCAUGCUCUGAUAGAGGAGGGCUGCCCCUUGGCCAGGGUCUCUGAGUAGCUGCAUUCCUCUGCUGGAGCUUCCAGUCAGGUUCUCACCACCAGUUGCGCGAGCAGAUGGGACUCAUCGCAAACCCUGUGGUCAGAGAAGAACGGUGCAUCAUGGGACUUUUACAACUCUCCUUUGGGGAGCCUUUCCUCCAAGG
rnacentral:snRNA from 1 species